rnacentral:tRNA from 1 species
GCCUUUGUGGUGUAGUGGUCAGCACGCUGGGUGCGUAUUCCAGAGGUCUGUGGUUCGAGUCCCGGCGAAGACA